UACGUAGGGUGCGAGCGUUGUCCGGAAUUAUUGGGCGUAAAGGGCUCGUAGGCGGUCUGUUGCGUCGGGAGUGAAAACUCAGGGCUUAACCCCGAGCCUGCUUCUGAUACGGGCAGACUAGAGGUAUGCAGGGGAGAACGGAAUUCCUGGUGUAGCGGUGAAAUGCGCAGAUAUCAGGAGGAACACCGGUGGCGAAGGCGGUUCUCUGGGCAUUACCUGACGCUGAGGAGCGAAAGUGUGGGGAGCGAACAGG
rnacentral:rRNA from 1 species